rnacentral:rRNA from 1 species
CGUGGGUAACCUGCCCAAGAGAUCGGGAUAACACCUGGAAACAGAUGCUAAUACCGGAUAACAACAGAUGAUGCCUAUCAACUGUUUAAAAGAUGGUUCUGCUAUCACUCUUUGAUGGACCUGCGGUGCAUUAGCUAGUUGGUAGGGUAACGGCCUACCAAGGCGAUGAUGCAUAGCCGAGUUGAGAGACUGAUCGGCCACAUUGGGACUGAGACACGGCCCAAACUCCUACGGGAGGCAGCAGGG